rnacentral:rRNA from 1 species
UAGUUCGUGGAGUGAUCUGUCUGCUUAAUUGCGUUUCAAAUUUUAUAUUUGUUAACAUGCGAGUCUUCAAUGACGGCCACUCCACCUUAUAGACAUUAUAUGAUAUGCACAUUUGUGUAUUUGAUUAUAACUUGUCUGGAGUCUGGCUCGAUUUUUUUGACUCAAUUGAACGCAACGGACGUGAUUGCAAGUCCUUGUUGAACAAAUUAUAUAUAUACUACUUCAUCAUUAGUAUAUAUAGUUCGCUUCUCAUGUCGUAGCAGUCAAACGGGCGGGCGUCUUAAUUGGCGCGGUCACGAGGCUUAAUAUGCUGCGGCUGGGAAAACUUGGGCGACCGCUGUAAUACUUCUCUCUUAAACCAGAGGAAGAUUGCGGCAAUAACAGGUCUGUGAUGCCCUCAGAUGUCCCGGGCCGCACACGUGCUACAUUGAUUAGCGCAGUGCGCAUACUUACAUAUAGAUCAUUGAUUGGUUAUUUAUAACCGUCAAUAUCGCCUUGUCUGAAAGGACUAGGUAAUCUAUUGUAAGUGCUGGUUCCUCCUCCCGUUGAGCAUUUUAAUAAUGGUCUCUCUACAUCCCUAGCACAUGAUGUCUAGUGCGAUUGUAGUUGAGUUCUGCCAUUUAUGCAAGUGUCAAUUCUCAGU